GAUGAACGCUGGCGGCGUGCUUAACACAUGCAAGUCGAACGAAACACCUCAUUUGAUUUUCUUCGGAACUGAAGAUUUGGUGAUUGAGUGACGGACGGGUGAGUAACGCGUGGGUAACCUGCCCUGUAGAGGGGGAUAACAGUCAGAAAUGACUGCUAAUACCGCAUAAGACCACAGCACCGCAUGGUGCAGGGGUAAAAAGUCUGGUGGUACAGGAUGGACCCGCGUCAGAUUAGCUGGUUGGUGAGGUAACGGCUCACCAAGGCGACGAGCAGUAGCCGGGUUGGGAGAGGGAACGGCGACAUUGGGACUGAGCCACGGCACAAACUCCUACGGGAGGCAGGGGUGGGGAAUAUUGCACAAUGGAGGAAGACCUGAUGCAGCGGCGCCGGGUAAGUGAAGAAGUAUUUCGGUAUGUAAAGCUCUAUCAGCAGGGAAGAGAAUGACGGUACCUGACAAAGAAGCCCCGGCUAACUACGUG
rnacentral:rRNA from 1 species